rnacentral:rRNA from 1 species
GUAGGUGGCAAGCGUUGUCCGGAAUUAUUGGGCGUAGAGCGCGCGUAGGGUGGUUCUUUAAGUCUGAUGUGAAAGCCCCCGGGCUAAACCGGGGAGGGUCAUUGGAAAUUGGGGAACUUGAGUGCAGGAGAGGAAAGUGGAAUUCCACGUGUAGCGGUGAAAUGCGUAGAUAUGUGGAGGAACACCAGUGGCGAAGGCGACUUUCUGGCCUGUAACUGACACUGAGGCGCGAAAGCGUGGGGAGCAAACAGGAUUAGAUACCCUGGUAGUCCACGCCGUAAACGAUGAGUGCUAAGUGUUGGGGGGUUUCCGCCCCUCAGUGCUGCAGCUAACGCAUUAAGCACUCCGCCUGGGGAGUACGGUCGCAAGACUG